GACGAACGCUGGCGGCGUGCUUAACACAUGCAAGUCGAACGGAAAGGCCCUGCUUUUGUGGGUUUCUCGAGUGGCGAACGGGUGAGUAACACGUGAGUAACCUGCCCUUGACUUUGUGAUAACUUCAGGAAACUGGGGCUAAUACCGGAUAGGAGCUCCUGCUGCAUGGUGGGGGUUGGAAAGUUUCGGCGGUUGUGGAUGGACUCGCGGCUUAUCAGCUUGUUGGUGGGGUAGUUGCUUACCAAGGUUUUGACGGGUAGCCGGCAUGAGAGGGUGACCGGCCACAUUGGGACUGAGAUACGGACCAGACUCCUACGGGAGGCAGUAGUGGGGAAUAUUGCACAAUGGGCGGACGCGUGAUGCAGCAACGCCGCGUGCGGGAUGACGGCCUUCGGGUUGUAAACCGCUUUCGCCUGUGACGAAGCGUGAGUGACGGUAAUGGGUAAAGAAGCACCGGCUAACUACGUG
rnacentral:rRNA from 1 species